ACUUUUCUUCAGAGUUCACCCCCCCUCUGCCAUUGGCUAUCUGAAGCUUUUAUCUAUUGUUUUCUCUAGAUUAUUUAAUCAUUUAUGCAAUUUUAUUUCACCACUGUUUACCUGAGGCAAAGUCUAAACCUGACUCACUUACCAACAGCUCCCAGCUGAUUCUGAUGAGUGCUUUCCCAAAGGAUAUUGAAAGCUCUGUAUAAAAGAAGCUCUCACUCCCUAGCCUCUGCUGGUGUUUGGAGAAUAAUGAGUGCUCAGGAAAAGGGCUUCAAGCUGUGUAAGUUAGGGCUUCAUAUCGUUUGAGACCCUUUGGGAGUCUUUAUUUUGUUUACAACGUGUCAGUAGAACAAAAUGUGUGAAGGCCUAAUCUUGAAUGCUUACAAAGGAAGAGACAACCUUCUCCUGCACUUUCCUUCCAAUGGAGUGGCUAACUCUUUAAACACCACAGGGCGUGAGUGUCCAAGCUUGUGGCUUGCCUGGGCCAUACUAAGAAAAGAGGAAUUGUCUUGUGCUGUAUCUACAUAUGUUGCUCCAAAAGUAAUGCCUCCUAUUUAUUUCCAUGGUAAAUACAACUGAUUUGAAAGAGCACCAUAACAAUAUUUGAUAGAGUGAAUUCUCAGCUACAAAACACUAUUUUCCAACAUAGUCUGCACCAUUAGCUGUGCAUUUUUGCCAGCAAUUAACAACAACCUCUGUUGCCAUACUCAUAAUAAUCUGCAGCAGCAAAGGUGACUCUCUGCUGAAAUGCACCAGCCUCUGCCUCGCUGUGCUGACCAAAGGCAGCUCCCUCAGCCAGCCCUGGGAUGCCAGGUGUGCUGUCUCUCCCCAGCCCUGAGGCCCUGGGCUCUCACCCCAUAUGGCCACGUCUUUCCCAUGCUGGAGUGACCAGGAGCAGGCACAGGAAUCCACACACAGACUCGCAAGCUCCAAAAAACAGAGGAACGUUUAUUGGUUUUGGUAAUUUUGUGGGAUGGGAUCUUUUUUAAUAUUGUUUGUGUGCUUUUUCUUUUCUACUCUCUUUGUUUUGAUUCGUUUAUUGUUCAAUGUUGAACAGACAUCCUUAUUCUGAGCCUCGCCCUUCUUCCCAUCAGCACCAAAGUUUUCUGUUCCUCCAUAGCAGCAGCCACUUCUGUACCAGCUCUGAGCCCUCCUCACAGCCCCAGGCAGCUCGGGUCCAUCCUCCAGACUCCUCCUGUUGCCCCAGCACAGCAGCUCAGAGGAUGCCGGUCAGAGGAUGCUGGAGUUCUGGGCACAGGGUCCCCGUACUUAUAGGACUUGGAAUCAAAGGCUGAAUCUUGACAUCAGUAGGGCAUGGUGAUGCCAUUCUAACAGAGGAAGGAUAGAGAUGCUGAGGGCUGUUCUCCUGGUGAAGGCUCCCCCAUGCCAUUUUGCUUGCUGAAGAGAAUGGUCUCCUGUUAGGCAUAGGCAUCCACUGGGGCUCCAGCCACCUUCUCAUUCCAAGCAUGGGAUCCCUUGGAUGAGAGGAUGGCAAAUGUGUCCCAUGAGGUCUGGGGAGGGUCUGCACUAUUCUGACCCAGCUGCCUGCAAGUGGAGCCUCCUGGACGUGGAGCUGCUGCUGUCACUGGGGCAGAAGCAGUUUGCACAGCAGUGUGAGGGGCUGAGCAGCAAUCAACCAGUUGGGCUGGGUGCGUUUGCCAGGCAGCUCUGCAGAUGCUGUGAGUGAAGAGACGGGGAUCUUUGAUCCUUGGUAGAAAUCAGAUCCCUGAGAGAUCACAGCCAGCUUGUUCUGCUACCUGAGAUAAAGUGUUGAAGCAGGUGGGUCAUGUGAGCUGUGGUACCUCCAAAGACUCUUCUGGGUGCAUCUGUAUCUCGUGUGGCUCCAAAAUCCUUCAGUCAUAGUUCAUGUAAAAAUCACACUCCUGGAUGAGAAAAUGUUCGUGCACUGUCCUCUGCAAGCCACGUGCAACCUUCUUUGUUUCUCUAUCAAUAUUUAUUUAUUUAUCAGAAUGGGUUUUAAAAGUCUUCUAAGCCGUGAUACAGUUGAAUUUAAAAAUAA